UUCCCUCUCCCCUACCUGACACAUCCAACCCCGGAACCUUCUCUACCUGUAAUUUCCUUCCUUUGAUUUCCACCAGCCCAGACCCUUGGCCCUCCACUCUGACCCGCCCCAGAGUGGCUUCAGGACCCCAGUGUCCUCGCUGGGCACUGGGCGAGAGGCUGUGGCAGAGCCCUGGAGGAAGCCAACUCAUUUAAAGGGAGCAUUUGGAAAGUGGGAGUGAGGAUUUACAAGGAAGUCACAAGAGUGAGGAAGGGAAACCUGAGCAGCGGUCCUGAAGCAAGAGACAGCAGUGGGACUCUGAGGAGCCAAAGAGGAAGGGAACCUGCCACCCAGACUAAGGAGCCAUGCUGGAGACUGCCACCUUUGCAGGCUUUGGAGAAGUAGGUGGUCAAGUAAGUUGGCUUCUGCAAGGCAAGACUGUGGCUGGUGCCUGCUGUGAGUAACCCCGAAUGACAGUCAGAAAGAAGCCAGGGACCUCAGCCUCACAGCAGAAGGAGGUGAAUUUUGCUGGAAGCUCACUGGAUCUGGAAGUAGAUCACUUUCCACUCAGGCAUCCAGGAGAGAGGAGGCGCAGCCAGCAAUUUGCACCCCCGAAGGCGAGGUGGGCCUGGACCCCUAACCCACAGCAACUCCGAGAUACUGGAAUAAUACAACUUUGAAUUCUGAAACUCGACUCUUCCUACUGGACAGAACUUUGGCAAAUGAGAGAAUCACUGUUUUGCAUCAUCUACCUACUUCUAUCUUCCAACUUCAUGUUAAACAGACUGAAAUGUUGUGCAGCUUGGAACAACGCCUGAUUUACUUUUCAGACUUUGGAGAAAGGGAAGAUUUUGCACCUGCUCCUUUAAUUGCUGUUUUCUUAUAUGUGUUACCAUGUAGCUUUAUAAAACACGGUUUGUCUAAAUGGAAGUAAAAAUUAAAUAAAUAAGAAAGAUA